CCUACGGGAGGCAGCAGUGAGGAAUAUUGGUCAAUGGGCGCGAGCCUGAACCAGCCAAGUAGCGUGAAGGAUGACUGCCCUACGGGUUGUAAACUUCUUUUAUAAAGGAAUAAAGUUAGGCACGUGUGCCUUUUUGUAUGUACUUUAUGCAUAAGGAUCGGCUAACUCCGUGCCAGCAGCCGCGGUAAUACGGAGGAUCCGCACGUUCUCCGGAUUUAUUUGGUUUAAAGGGAGAGUAGAUGGGUUGUUAAGUCAGUUGUGAAAGUUUGCGGCUCAACCGUAAAAUUGCAAUUGAUACUGGCAGUCGUGAGUACAGUUGAGGUAGGCGGAAUUCGUGGUGUAGCGGUGAAAUGCUUAGAUAUCACGAAGAACUCCGAGUGCGAAGGCAGCUUACUAAACUGCCACUGACAUUGAUGCACGAAAGUGUGGGUAUCAAACAGGAUUAGAUACCCUUGUAGUC
rnacentral:rRNA from 1 species